CCUACGGGAGGCAGCAGUGAGGAAUAUUGGUCAAUGGACGAGAGUCUGAACCAGCCAAGUAGCGUGAAGGAUGACUGCCCUAUGGGUUGUAAACUUCUUUUAUAUGGGAAUAAAACGUUCCACGUGUGGGAUUUUGUAUGUACCAUAUGAAUAAGGAUCGGGUAACUCCGUGCCAGCAGCCGCGGUAAUACGGAGGAUCCGAGCGUUAUCCGGAUUUAUUGGGUUUAAAGGGAGCGUAGGUGGAUUGUUAAGUCAGUUGUGAAAGUUUGCGGCUCAACCGUAAAAUUGCAGUUGAAACUGGCAGUCUUGAGUACAGUAGAGGUGGGCGGAAUUCGUGGUGUAGCGGUGAAAUGCUUAGAUAUCACGAAGAACUCCGAUUGCGAAGGCAGUUCACUGGACUGCAACUGACACUGAGGCUCGAAAGUGUGGGUAUCAAACAGGAUUAGAUACCCCGGUAGUC
rnacentral:rRNA from 1 species